rnacentral:rRNA from 1 species
UACGUAGGGUGCGAGCGUUAAUCGGAAUUACUGGGCGUAAAGCGUGCGCAGGCGGUUUUGUAAGACAGAUGUGAAAUCCCCGGGCUUAACCUGGGAACUGCAUUUGUGACUGCAAGACUAGAGUGUGUCAGAGGGGGGGUGGAAUUCCACGUGUAGCAGUGAAAUGCGUAGAGAUGUGGAGGAACACCGAUGGCGAAGGCGAUCACCUGGGGUUGUUCUGACGCUGAGGAGCGAAAGCUAGGGGAGCAAACAGG